rnacentral:rRNA from 1 species
CAGUAGCCACGGUAAUACGUAGGUCCCGAGCGUUGUCCGGAUUUAUUGGGCGUAAAGCGAGCGCAGGCGGUUAGAUAAGUCUGAAGUUAAAGGCUGUGGCUUAACCAUAGUACGCUUUGGAAACUGUUUAACUUGAGUGCAGAAGGGGAGAGUGGAAUUCCAUGUGUAGCGGUGAAAUGCGUAGAUAUAUGGAGGAACACCGGUGGCGAAGGCGACUCUCUGGUCUGUAACUGACACUGAGGAGCGAAAGCGUGGGGAGCGAACAGGAUUAGAUACCCGCGUAGUCCCUGUCUCUUAUACA